rnacentral:rRNA from 1 species
GACGAACGCUGGCGGCGUGCCUAACACAUGCAAGUCAACUUGAGGGAAGGUAGCAAUCUGACCUGAUGGUGGCGCAAGGGUGCGUAACGCGGUAAGUAACUUGCCCCAAGGUAAGGAAUAACGUCGAGAAAUCGGCGCUAAUACCUCAUAAUGCAGCCGGAUCCGCAUGGAUAUGUUGUUAAAGGUUUCCGCCUUGGGAUAGGCUUGCGUCUGAUUAGCUAGUUGGUGUGGUAAUGGCACACCAAGGCUACGAUCAGUAACUGGUCUGAGAGGAUGAUCAGUCACACUGGAACUGAGACACGGUCCAGACUCCUAC